GGAGGAUUAGCUCAGCGGGGAGAGCAUCUGCCUUACAAGCAGAGGGUCGGCGGUGCGAGCCCGUCAUCCUCCACCA
rnacentral:tRNA from 1 species